CCCUUCUCAGGAUCUCACCUUGAGAGUUUUCAGUACCCUACCAGUCUCGGCUACUAGAAGGACAGUCAAACAGAGGCAUACCCAUUCCAUUCCUAGCUUGGGUAGUGGCUAGCAAGUGGAAGGCAAUCUGCUACAAGU